AUUGAACGCUGGCGGAAUGCUUUACACAUGCAAGUCGAACGGUAGAGGGGGCAACCCCUUGAGAGUGGCGAACGGGUGAGUAACAUAUCGGAACGUGCCCAGUCGUGGGGAUAACGUAGCGAAAGCUACGCUAAUACCGCAUACGAUCUAUGGAUGAAAGCGGGGGAUCGCAAGACCUCGCGCGAUUGGAGCGGCCGAUAUCAGAUUAGGUAGUUGGUGAGGUAAAGGCUCACCAAGCCGACGAUCUGUAGCUGGUCUGAGAGGACGACCAGCCACACUGGGACUGAGACACGGCCCAGACUCCUACGGGAGGCAGCAGUGGGAAUUUUGGACAAUGGCGCAAGCCUGAUCCAGCAAUGCCGCGUGCAGGAUGAAGG
rnacentral:rRNA from 1 species